AGUUCGGAUUGCAGGCUGCAACCCGCCUGCAUGAAGUCGGAAUCGCUAGUAAUCGCGAGUCAGCAUAUCGCGGUGAAUACGUUCCCGGGUCUUGUACACACCGCCCGUCACACCAUGGGAGUUGGCAACACCCGAAGUCGAUGAGCUAACCGUAAGGAGGCAGUCGCCUAAGGUGGGGUUGAUAACUGGGGUGAAGUCGUAACAAGGUAUC
rnacentral:rRNA from 1 species